rnacentral:piRNA from 1 species
GCUAAUGAUGAUAUGACCUGAUA